ACUAUUUUGGCAGAAAAGUGCCAUGAAUUUAGAAUUCAUAAAUAUAGGCCAGUCCUAUAAAUAGUAC
rnacentral:tRNA from 1 species